CCUAUGGGAGGCAGCAGUGGGGAAUAUUGCACAAUGGGCGCAAGCCUGAUGCAGCAACGCCGCGUGAGGGACGACGGCCUUCGGGUUGUAAACCUCUUUUAGUAGGGAAGAAGCGAAAGUGACGGUACCUGCAGAAAAAGCACCGGCUAACUACGUGCCAGCAGCCGCGGUAAUACGUAGGGUGCAAGCGUUGUCCGGAAUUAUUGGGCGUAAAGAGCUCGUAGGCGGUUUGUCGCGUCUGCUGUGAAAACCCCGAGGCUCAACCUCGGGCCUGCAGUGGGUACGGGCAGACUAGAGUGCGGUAGGGGAGAUUGGAAUUCCUGGUGUAGCGGUGGAAUGCGCAGAUAUCAGGAGGAACACCGAUGGCGAAGGCAGAUCUCUGGGCCGUAACUGACGCUGAGGAGCGAAAGCAUGGGGAGCGAACAGGAUUAGAUACCCUGGUAGUCCAUGCCGUAAACGUUGGGAACUAGAUGUAGGGACCAUUCCACGGUUUCUGUGUCGCAGCUACGACAUUAACGUUACCCGUCCGUCGGGAGGUACGGCCGGCGACGGACGUAAACGUAACGUAAAGGUAAGUUAGUUACGGUCGUUGAGACGUUGCGACGGACGACGACGAGGGAGGAGG
rnacentral:rRNA from 1 species